rnacentral:rRNA from 1 species
GAAUUUUGGACAAUGGGCGAAAGCCUGAUCCAGCAAUGCCGCGUGCAGGAUGAAGGCCUUCGGGUUGUAAACUGCUUUUGUACGGAACGAAACGCUUUGGGUUAAUACCCUGGAGUCAUUACGGUACCGUACGAAUAAGCCCCGGCGAACUCCGUUGCGGCAGCCGCGGUAAUACGUAGGGUGCAAGCUUUAAGCGGAAUUACUGGGCGUAAGGCGUGCGCAGGCGGUGUUGUAAGAGAGAGGUGAAAUCCCCGGGCUCAACCUGGGAACUGCCUUUGUGACUGCAAGGCUAGAGUACGGCAGAGGGGGGUGGAAUUCCGCGUGUAGCAGUGAAAUGCGUAGAUAUGCGGAGGAACACCGAUGGCGAAGGCAACCCCCUGGGCCUGUACUGACGCUCAUGCACGAAAGCGUGGGGAGCAAACAGG